UACGUAGGGUGCGAGCGUUGUCCGGAAUUAUUGGGCGUAAAGAGCUUGUAGGCGGUUUGUCGCGUCUGCCGUGAAAACCCGGGGCUCAACCCCGGGCCUGCAGUCGAUACGGGCAGACUAGAGUGUGGUAGGGGAGACUGGAAUUCCUGGUGUAGCGGUGAAAUGCGCAGAUAUCGGGAGGAACACCGGUGGCGAAGGCGGUUCUCUGGGCCUUACCUGACGCUGAGGAGCGAAAGCGUGGGGAGCGAACAGG
rnacentral:rRNA from 1 species